CUGUGGGCGACUGUUGUCUAAUGAGGAGAACGGCAGUUGGUACGAAUGACGUCAGAUUUGGCUUUAACACUGGAGUAUGGCGGAAUCAAAGAUUUUCGGAUGAAGUCCAUGUCACACAAGGAAGUCUUCAGUGCCACUUCUUCGUGGAAAGAACACUGCAGCCUCCAUAUCAGUGCUGUUGCCCCUUCAAGACCGACACCGGUGAGGAGAAAGAAACGGAUCUGAUGAAGACCGAACUAGAUCUGCCAUUACAAGACCAACGUCCGACAAGCCGAAUGUCUUAGAAAACCUCAUCGCAAGCAUCAUGGAAAAAUAAGUGAAUAACUGGACCGCCUGGGAUUGGAAAGCUCAGUAGCACCGCCCUGUACCUUCUCAGUGAACGUGCUACUAAUUAGCUGAUAAUCGGCUACAGUAGUUUACUUAAUGAAUAAGAGAAAGACAUUUCGGAUGCACCUACAUCCUAAACAAAGUCCUCUCACCGAUUACACCUUUAUCCAACAGUGAAUUCUAACCGACGUUCGCGUUAUUACCGUGACGUGUAACGCCGAGGGCCGGCCUGGACAUCUCUUCAGAUGUUCCAGAUUUUCCCGAAGGAUAAAAGCCGAUGUGUCGGAAAGGACUUUCGAAAACCUUCGGUUGGCCGACUUUCAGAGUCCCGCAUAAUCGAGAUUCUCUCAAGAAGCGUUAUAACAGGAUCCGCGCCGCUCUAACGAAGCAAGAGUUCCCACGGGCUUUGACCGGAAAAUGGGUGUCGUUAAGGGGCACUUUUUUAUUACAGAGCCUCUAAGAACACGGGCACUCUAAAAAUAUAAAUUACUAGAAAUCAUUUGUUUAAA